CGAGGCAGCCAAUCACGCGCUGUGCGUCACUAAUGGCGCCGCUCCCGGGAGCUGAGCCCCGCGGCUGCGGCGGCUGCAGUGGAGGAGGCGGAGCCUGCGCUGGGCUGCGGAGGCCGAGCUUCCGCGAGCCGGGUUGUGAGCGGCGCCACGCUUGCGGGUCUCCUUAGCGGACGGCCGGCCUGCGAGCAGGGGCUUCUGUCGUCCAGGCCGAUACGCGCGAGAGACCGGGAGAGAAGCGGGCCGCGAGCCGGGUAGCGGCAGCCCUCGGCCCGGCGGGGGACGCUGUCCGAGCUCGAGGUUGCGGGGGAAGCGAGCGGACGCGGGGCUGGGCCGGGCCGGUGCGGAGCGGACCCCGGGGCCUCGCUGUUGGCGAGAUCCGAGAGGGGCCCCUGCUGUCUUCGCUGCUUCCCCUUGGCAUCCGGGAUUUCCGAGGAGCAGUUUUUACUUUUUUUUUUUUUUUGGUACGGGGGAUUGAACUCCGGUCCUUGCGCUUGCACAGCAGGCGGCCAAACCACAGAGCUAAAUCCCCGGCCCCCGAGGAGCAGUUUUUAUAAACUGACGUCCCUCGUUGCCCCUUAGGGCUGUGCACUCAAUCGAGCCACAAGGUGCAGGUUUUCAGAUUUGGAUUCGCAGUACCGGCCCAGGGCCCUUGAUUCGUGUGCCUGUCGUUCCAGGGUAAUUAAUCUUCGCUUGAGUGUGGUUGCCACGAACCCCUUUGGCAGUCCGCUAAGGCAGUGGCGUUUAAACGCAGCGUUCAGAGCGGCAUUUUUUUAAACGAGUAGAAUGAAAUCUGUAGAAUUACAAAGGAAAUUUUGCUGAAGUAGUUAAAUCAAAAAUAUUAAAACCAGUUUUGUUAUAUUGCGUUAGCUGUGUAUAUGUGUAUAUGUGUGCUGCCUUUUGCAUUAAAGGAACUAGUGCCAAGUCUAAUAAACUACCAUAAUUUCAAAAUAGUGAAGUGAGCAUAAAUGAUGUUUUCAGAUGUGUGUAACAACUGCACGGAUAAACUGAUUUUUACUGGUGACAGCGUAACAUUGCUAAUACUACCACGGUUAAUGCCUACAUCUGUAAUUAAGGGGAACAUUUAAAUCGAAAGGUUGAUGAAAAUAAAGAUGUAAUUUUUUCCAACACAGGUUUUUCAACCACUUGGUUUCUAUCCAUGGACUCCAAGUUAAGAAUGUCUGGUAAAGAAUCUCUGUAUAUGUCAGUUUUCAAAGCACAAGAUUUGGAAGAUCCAGGAUUUUCAAACACUACUCUAAUGGCCAUGCAGUGGUUUUUCUGCUGCUUCCUUGACCAUUUCUUUAUUUCACAAGGUCACAGAUGCAUGUUCUCUAUAGUGGAGAGGAAAAGUAGAAAUGUUAAUGUUUUCCUUCUUAUUCCCAGCUGCACUUACAUUGCCCCAGAAGAGAACUUUAAAUUACUUGUACAGGAAGAAGAGAAUGAUGAACUCAGAAGACAUUCAGUACAGAGCCUAUAAUGACAGACUGGUAUUUUCAAAUGAACCAUCUUCCAGUUCUUUCAUUUUAUACCAGAGGAAACAAAUAGAUGAACUGACUGCUACUGGUAGUGGAACAGGUUAUUGAGGAAGGCCUAGAUCCCCGUUUUCCUGGUCUGUCUCCAGUUUUUUUCUGAUGAUUCCCCACCCAAUGACUAGAUAGGAAAUGAGCUGCUCAAGAUGAAACUUAGUGGCAGCAUUUUUACUAGACUCCUGUAACAGUAUUCUUUAGAUUAAUACAUUUUGCUUCAUAGAACUAAAGGUUUUAGAAAAUUAUGUAUCUCUUUGUACAGUUGUAAGAUGACACCUAAAUUUGUCAUCUUAAAUUUAGGACAUUAUGAAGGACAAAAAUUUGGGCAUAUUAUAAAUAUCAGCAUUCUUUAAUGAAACAUCAUCCAUUUAAUUAUAUUCACUUGAAUGUAACUUUGAUACCUACUAUCAUUUAUGAAAUACCUGAAAAUUUUUUUAAAAGACAAUUUACGUCACUUUCUUCUUUCAUUUCCAUUGUACACCGAAUAUGAUUCUAAUAUGAUCUACAUAUUGGUCACUUAACCAUUUUUUGCAACAAAAGUAUGUCUACUAAUGUUUUAAGUUUUAAAAUUUCCUGGGAUCAAUUCUUUUGGAAUGUUACCUUUCCAUUACAAAGCAGAAAAAAAUGACAUGAAUGAAUCUUAAACUUUGAUUAAAAAGUACAGAAUAUGGACUGGGGAUAUAGCUCAGUGGUAGAGCACUUGCCUAGGGUGUGGAAGGUCCUGUGUUCAAUCCCAGCACGGCAAAAUAAAUUAAUAAAUGUAUGUAGAUAUAUAGAUUUAUGGAGAAAGAAUAAGAAAGUUGUAUUGAAAAUGCAACUUUAAAAAGAUGCCUGGUAUGUCAUAUUUCCACUAAUGACAGGACUGCUGUAGUCACCACGAGACAGUUUCCAAGUCUACUUUGUAAAACCGUCAGAUGACAACCUUUUAGGGAGCAAAACUAGCAUAUAGAAGUGUUCUGUAACUUGCCUCCUCAAAGGUGACGUGCUCAAGAUUCAGAAGCACAGCCACUCACUCCUAUUUUAUGAACUACUCACGACGAAUGUCAUCCUUUGCCUAAAUUGGAGAAAAGGUGGAUUUAAUGAGACAAAUGAGAAAUUUAACCUAAUAGUAAAGACUCAGACUAAAAUAUUAUAUAUGUAUUCAUGUGUGUGUGCGUGCACACACACGCACAGACUGUACUUUAAAAAUCUCUGUACCCUGCAAUAGACAGCACAGCUUCCCUACUGUGUUUAUCCACUCUCGGGACAGCCUGGUAAGUUGGCCAUGGGGCCUCUAGGGUAGAUUGCUACAGACUGUGAGAAACGUCACCCAUUUUGUUCGGUGUGCCAUGCAAAUAUUCUCAUUUUCUACAGAUACAAUGAUGUAGGAAAGAUUGGGAAACCCUAAUCCCAGGGAAAUCCAUUUUUGGAAAAAUCCAAAUAAAGGCUAGUGGUAAUAGAUUUUUAGUAUAUGCCAGAGAACAUGAGAUCCCCACUUAAUCAUGGCUUGGUUUCCCAGACAAUCCUUACUCAGGUUGCGGUGGUUUCAGUUACCUACAGUCAACUGCCGUCCAAAAAUACUAAAAAGAAGAGUAGAAAUGAACAAUUCACAGGUUUCCAAUUGCAUGCCAUUCUGAGGAAACCUUACAAAAUUUCUUCAUCCUGGUCCAUCCGCCUGAGCUAUGAAUCAUCCCUUUGUCCAGUGUCUCCACACUGUAUACUCAGCCUCCCCGUUAGUCACUUAGUAGCAGUCUCAGUUAUCAACCUAGUAUUAUCUUUAUUUUCAGGCACCUAGUAAGGGUCUUGGAAUGUACCUUCCGCAGAUAAGAGGGGACCACUGUAACUAUAAACUAGUAUUUAGGAGUUGAGGUGUAUCAUAGCUGAUAACUUUCUCUGACCUGAGACACUUUACUAAUAGGAAAUCAUAGAGCUGUACAGAAUAAUUAGGAAAGCUGGGAGAAAAUUAUUAAAAAUUAAGAUUGUGAAGUCCAUAGAUUGAUAAGGCAGUGGUAGAUGGCCCUCUGUGUCCAGCCCUGUGUAGAUGUUGGUGUUCAGGAGCCGUGGAGAACUGGCUUGGAGAGUCUAGAAAUCUGAAGUUCCUGGCUCUGCUUGGCUUAUGAUUUUGGACAAAAGAAUUCUUCUUGGCCUCAGUUUCCUUGUUUAUAUGGAAAGAAGCUAAUGGAGAGCCUUCUAUUUUAGUGUUGAACAUUUUAUUGUCUUAAAAGCUUUACAUUUGUAAUUCAUUGAGAUACAGGCGUACCGUACUGAACCAAGCAGUUACUCUUUACUGCUUAUCUACUGCCUUGGAGAUUGUGGCACUUUGCUAUUUUCUGUUAAGCACUUCAUGAUUUUAUAGUCUUGAUCUUGGACUGGUAAAAUUGUGCAUCAUCUUCUUCCUGGAGGAUGCUGAGAGCAGAGUGGCAAAACUGAUGAUUCUCAUCAAGUGAUAGAGCCUCAGUUCUAUUGAUCCUGCCAAGUUCUUCAAUCAGAAGACACAGGCUGUCCCCAGACAGUUUCUGUGCAAUCUGGAGGACAUAAGAGAUGACGCUGAAGAUGAUCUGAACAAUUUUAACAUGGGGACUGUGAGCAGAAUCACCGUUGGCUCCAGAAUGGGACAAGCUACAGCCGUUGGUUCACAUUGGACCUACUGAGAAGUGGUGACGUGUUGAAUCUCAAGUACUGUAUUUGGUGGAGAUAAGCCUCAGUCAGCAGUGAAAAUUGUACUUCACUUCUCCCAUCUGUGGGGCCAGAGCUGCAAUCUGUCCCAUCCCCUGAUAACUGACCAGCUCUACUGGAACCAGAGGUUCACCUCUCGUCGAAGCUGGGCAGAACAGUAAAUCUGUUGGCAUCCAAAAGAUAUCGGAGCCUGUAUAUUUAAACACAUCAGCAGGGGCUUCAAUCUGGAUCCGGGUGAAGAAGCAGGCACUAACUGUGGCAGGGGACUGCGAUAGGGCAAAUCAGGAGCUUCUGUCGUCUUGGGCUGAGAGCUGCUGCUGGUCUUCUGGUUCUCUAGAGUGCAGAUGGCCACAGUGGACCCUCCCACCUCCCAUCCUGUAAGUCAGCUUCACAAAUUCCCUGCAUAACUGUACACAUGUUUUCCAUUGAUUCUGUUCCCUCGAGAACCCUAACCCAUGCCAGUUGUAAUCAACAUCUACAGUGAUUGUAAAUUUUUCCUCUUUCUCACUGUGUGUGAAAUAUGUGAAGGCAAAGCCUGUCUUUACUCAAUUUGGUGUCCAUUAUCACAGCUACAAUUUGUGGCAUUCAGUAAGUCUACUGAGGAAACAAAGUAAAAGAAGGCACAAAUAACUUUUUAAACUCAGUUGUCUGUUUAAACAUGUCUAUGGCUGCUUUUGAAAUAUGUACAUGUUAAAUAGUACCAGAAAUUAUUUGUCAUAUAUGUUUACAUAUAUUUAGGAAUGAAACAUUGGCAUAAACAUGAACACCUUCUCAAGUACAAGCAUGUGCUUUACCAUUAUAUUUUCUUUAUUUAUUUUUGUAGUACUGGAAAAUAAACCCAGGG